rnacentral:rRNA from 1 species
CCGGGGAUAACAGGCUUAUUCCUCCCAAGAGUCCACAUCGACGGAGGAGUUUGGCACCUCGAUGUCGGCUCAUCACAUCCUGGGGCUGUAGCAGGUCCCAAGGGUUCGGCUGUUCGCCGAUUAAAGUGGUACGCGAGCUGGGUUCAAAACGUAGACAACACUGCGUUGCCAGGAAGUAAUUCCUGGAACAAUUUAACUGGCUCAUAUCGGUGGAGCCCUCCUGGAGUUGCAAACUGACUCCAAAGGGUAAUACCGAGGGAAGGCUGGUAACGAUGGAUCCUACAAUCCUUGCUUAUAUCGCAGGAUUCCUGGACGGUGAUGGCAGCAUCUUCUUUCAACUGAUCCGAAAGAAGGACUACUGCCUCGGAUUCCAGAUCAGGACGUCAGUCGCUUUCUAUCAGAAGACUGAGAAUGAACAGAUUCUCCUCUGGCUGAAAGCGCAGUUCUUAUCCGGGUACAUCCGACGCCGGAAGACAGGCAUCAGUGAUUACACGAUUGUAGAGCCUCAGGAAGUCCGCAGGAUUUUGGAGCUGGUGCAACCUUACGUGCGACUCAAGCAGGAGCACGUGAGACUCGGCCUCGAAAUUCUCGACAAGCUUCCCUUGGCUGGCGAUGCAACACGAUUGAUGGCGUUGUGUCAGCUGGUCGAUCGGUUUCGGGAUCUCAACUACUCAAAGAAGAGAACGGUCACUUCUGAGAGUGUUGAAGCACACCUGAAAUCACAUGGUUACCUUGCCCCUGUAGAGACUGAUCCAAUCAGGAGAGAGUCGCUGGGAUGAACAGCGGCUAAGACGCCAGUCCCCUCGGUUGCAAGUCGAGGGUGAAGGUAUAGUCCAUGCCACCAGAAAUGGUGGACAAGCAUGCGUGAGACAGUUUGGUCCCUAUCUUCCGUAGCCGUUGGAGAUUUGAGGGUGAGCUGUCCUUAGUACGAGAGGACCGGGAUGGACGCACCUCUGGUGUUCCGGUUGUCACGCCAGUGGCACUGCCGGGUAGCUAUGUGCGGACGGGAUAACCGCUGAAAGCAUCUAAGCGGGAAGCCCCCCCCAAGAUUAGAUCUCCCUGGGAGCUCGACUCCCCUGAAGGGCCCACGAAGACUACGUGGUUGAUAGGCUGGGUGUGUACGGCCAGUAAUGGCUUCAGCUAACCAGUACUAAUUGCCCGUGAGGCUUGACCAUAUAACCUCAAGUGGUUUGG